GUAAGAGAUCUUGGGAGAAAAAAAAAAAAACAUCCCUGGCUCUUUCCCUCGUGCCCUGCCCUCCCCCACUUUGCCUAUAGCCAUCCUGUGUAUUCCCUCUCCCUGGUUCCUACCAGAUGCUGAAAAUACACAGUUGAUAAAUUUCCCUAGAUGUGCUGGGUUGUCACCUCUGAUCUCCAAGACUUCCUCUUAUCACAAAGAUGCAAAUAGGGAGAGAGAAAAUGGGAGAAGGGUGAUUAUAGAAGAAAGAAGGAAGAAAACCAGGAAUCAAAGAAAGGAAUCUCACAGUGGGCUGAAAAAUGAUAAUCAUCUUCAAUAAGCCAAUCUAUCAAUCUAAGAACAUUUAUUAAGCACCUAAUAUGUGCUAGGCAUUAUGCUAGGUACCAGAGAUAAAAAGACAAAGAAUGAAAUAUGAACUGCCUUCAUGGAAUCUGUAUUCUAUUAGCACAUAUAUAAGCAUAUAGAGACUAACAAAAAAUAAAUAUGGGGUAUUUUAGGGAGUGAAAACAUAAGUGGUUAAGAGUGUAUCAAGAAAGACUUUGCAUAGAAAAUAAUGCUUAAGCUGUGUCUUGGAAAACCCUGAAGUCUCCACCAGUUCUGGUAGCAAGACUACAUAAAAUGUGAUAGGGUGUAGAUCUGAAUUCUAGCCGUGUGACCUUGGGCAAGUCACAACCAUUCCAGGGCUCAGUUCCUGCAUGAAAUGAAGAGGUUAAGACUUAGUAGCUGCUAAGGUGCCUCAUAUUUCUAAAUCCUUAAUUAUUUUAAGUAGAGUCUAGUCCUCUGUUCAAAUAUCAACCCCAUAUCCAGACUUUCAGAGAUGCCAGUGGUGGUAUCUCAGUGGUACCAGUGGUCUUCUUACUUAAGAAGAGUAUCCUGGGCCCUCCUUGUAAGGCAAUGACAACAUAGAUAUUAGAAAGCUACUGGAAAUAAGGAAAAUUGUUAAGUCUAAAUUGGGUAAUGGAAUAAAGAAGCAACUUUUCCAGGAUUCAUAAACUGGUCUUCCUUACUAUCCCUCCCUGUUACCUCCUCAAUUCAGAAAUGUGUAAGGGUAAAGUGUAAAUGGAACCCAUCAUCAUUAUUAUUGUCAUUUGUGGUAGAAAUGACCAGGGAGAUUUGAUUCCUAGCCACUAGGAGCUUGAGAUACUUCAGAGAUGUUGAACACAUUUUUAAAAAUGGCAUUCAAGUAGCUGAGCAAAAGAACCAAGGCUUGGUAUAAAUUCAGGCAUAUAGGAAAAGAUUUUCUGUUGUCUCAGUUCCAUAUUGACCCUUCCACUGAAUUCCUUUUCCAUAUCCUGUACCACUUCAACCAAAUUUGUUUUCCCUCCAAGUUGAUCUAAGGGAUUUUCUAACAAUAGCUGCUGUAUAUUUAAUGAUUUAUCUGCAUCAUCUCAUUUGAUACUCAAAAAGACCCUGUGAGGUAGGUGCUAUUAUUAUCCUCAUUUUACAUAUCCAGAAAUUGAAGUUCAAAACAGGUAAGUGACUUGUCCACUGAUAAGAAAUUAGUGUUUACAGGUAGAAGGUAAAGGUCUGAACUCACCCCUGUGACUCCCCAAUCAUCUCCUCUCUUUAGUGUUCAAUCUCUCCCUGUCAACUAACUCCCCACCCUGCUAUCUACAAAUUUGGUCAGGCCUCCUGUAUCCUUCAAAAAAAAUCUCUUGGCCUUAUUAUUCCCUUAAAGUAGCAUCCAAUGUAUUUUCUGCAUUUCAUAGCCAAAUUCCUUGAAAAAGCUGUCUAUUCUCUUUGCUUCCACUUCCUCUCCUCUCACUAGAAUCUUAACACUUUGCAAUCUGGCUUCCAAAAGUUGUCUCUAAAGUUACCAAUGGAUUCCUAAUUUCCAAAACCAUUCGUCUAAAAGAUCACUGACAAAAUUUCUCUAUAAGGGUAUACCAGGGCUCUGUGGGAAUAAGCAGGGUCCUAGAGGGCUAAAUUGGGCUUUUCCCUUUGCUCAUCCUGAUUGACCUAUCAGUAUCAUUUGGCACAUCAAUCUUCUCCACUUAAUCGUUCCCUCCUCUUUGGGUUCUGGUGACAUUGCUCAUUUUUGGUUCUCCUUCUUGGUUUAUCUACUCCUCCUCAGUCCAUUUGGGUGAUUCUCUCCUGGAUCAUCUAUGUCUUGUCUCCUAACUAUAAGUAUACCCUAAGAUUGACCAGAACCCUCUUUUCUCUUUUCUCUGCUAUGGUGAUCUCAACUGUUUCUUUGGGUUCAACUAUCAUCUCUUAAGCAAACAAUUAUCUGAUUCAUAUAACCAGGACAAAUCGGUCUCCUGAGCUCCAGUCAUAUAUCCUCAAUUGCUUGGACAUUUCUUCCAUGAUUUCCCAUAAACAUCAACAUAAUUCAAACAGAAGUCAUUAUCUUUCACUCCAACUAUACCCCUUCUCCUAGCUUCCCUAUUUCUGUUGGGGAGAUCAAUUAUUUUAGUCAGUCAGAUGCACAACCUCAAAAAUAUCCUUGAUAUUUAAUUCUCCUAUAUCUACCAUAUUCAAUCAUUUGUGAAGCCAUGACUUCUACUUUCCCAACUUUGCAACAUCCAUUCUUUUUUCCCACUCACAUGACAACCACCUUAUUUAGGCUCUCAGCAUUUCUAACAGAGACUAUUGCACUAACCUCCAAAUUGUUUCCCCUUAUUGAUUCACCUCUUUCCAGUCUAUCCAUCUGCCUAGGUGUGAAAUUAAUAUCCAUAAGGCAGACCUCUGACACCAUGUCAUGACCCUACUCAAAAAAAUUCCAGUAGCUCCUGAUUGCUUUUAAGAUCAAAUGCAAAUUUCUUUUUGGCAUUCUUAGCCCUUCACAGCAUGACUCCAGCCUACUUUUCCAGGUACUAUUCAUAUCCAACUCUCUAUGAUCCCAUGGACUAUACUGUCCACUUUUUUUGGCAAAGAUUCGCCAUUUCCUUCUUCAGUAGAUUAAGGCAAACAGAGGUUAAGUGACUUGCCCAAGAUCACACACAUAGUAAGUAUAUGAGGCUGGAUUUGGAGUCCCCAAUGUUACUAGUGGAAAACACAGAUGUCUGAAAUUAUUUAUUGUAUAUUCUCUCUGCAUGGUGUACUUGAUAAAGAGUAGUUUUUGAUAAAGAGGCUGACAGGGGUGGGAAGCUAGGUGUCUCAAUGAUAGAGAACCCCUGGAGAUAGAGUUCUUGGGUUCAAAUCUGAUCUCAGAUAAUUCCUAGCUAUGUGAUCCUCAGCAAGUCACUUAAUCCCAAUUGUCUAGCCCUUACCUCUCUUCACCUAGGAACCCCAAAAUACUUAGACUCAAUUAGAAGACAGAGGUAAAGGGUUAAAAAAAAAGAAUAGUCUUUGGAGUUGUGAAGAUAGGAUUAACUCUCCCCUUGCCUAUUUUUAGCUAAUCAAAUCAAAAAAUUUAAGUACCCCUACUUGACAUUAAGUUAGAUUUCUCAAGUCACUUGCUAAAGUGGGUGACAACUCCAGAGGCUACUGCCCAGCCCUUGGUGUUUUUGUCAAAACUAAAGCUUGUAUUGAUAAGCUAAAGCUGUUAUAACUAUAAAUGAACUAAGGUUGGUACUGAGUAUUGCUAGAUGGAUGAUAAUGCCAAGCUGUUACAGUAAACUAAAGCUGUCAGGGUUAAACUAACUUGUGGGCAGUGGAUGGAAGGCUGGAAACAGUUGAAUACAACCCUUAUUUAUUUUCUUCUAUGGGAAGAGGUAGGGAGAGGAAAUAGAAGGAUAGAAAUUAGGAUUUGGGACUAAGAUAGGAAAUCUCGUAACCUUAUACUAAAAUCUCUAAAUAGAACCUCCCUGCCCCCCAAAAAACCAACUAGCUGAUUUCUUUGCAGCCUCUUCUUUGCCUGCAAGCAGGCCACCUUAGACUAUUCUCUCUAAACUAAAAUUAAAUUCUGUCUUACUACCCUAUGCUAAAUGAUGAACCUUAAAUUAAUAAUGAACUCCUUAAAGUAACCCCAAAGCUGCCAGAACCAACUGUCAGAGUGACCUCUUGACAGAGAGUGAACCUGAACAGCUCAGGACUCCUCUUCCCUCAAAUCCAAAUGGCAGACAGUCCAGCUGUUCUGUCCAUUCUGAAAAGAACAGACCUCCCAGUCACUGUCUUCUUCCCAACUCUGUAUUGCAGACAAAAUCUAAACCUUCACUGCCAGAUUCUCCUGAUGUAGAGAGAAAUCUGAUCCAGCACCUUCCAACUCCACUCAGCCAAGGCCAGAGCAAAAUGGAGUGUCUAACUGACCUUAUUCCCUGGUUUUAUGCUUUUCUCUUAAAGGACCAGAAGCAAGAUCUGUCUUUUCUAUCUCUUAAAGGAGACAGCAUACAAAUAAAAAAAAAAAACACCUUUCUCUGACCUAAACUUCUGCUCCUAAUGAGACAGAAUACACUAAAUAAAACUCCUUAUAACAUUGGGCAAUGCUAAGCAAAUUGAAAGACUGUGAUUGGUUCCCAUAAAGUGGGGAAGGGACAGGAAGUGACAUGGAAAAAAGACUAUUAAAAAGUCCUGAACUUCCUGUCCAAGGGUCUUCUCCUUUGGACUUCUCCUUUGAACUUAUUCUCCUUUGUAGUUCAUCUUUGGAGACUCUGCAACUCUGCAUCAGUGAGCUGGACUGAUAGAGGUGACUCUUUCCCUGGAUCCUGUGUCAGAUUGCUGGGUCACUAGUUGCCCCUGCCAACUCAAGCAGAGCCUGGUGAUCAUCUAUAAGUAGUUUCCUCAUCUGUCAAAUGAGCUGGAGAAGGAAAUGGCAAACCACUCCAGUAUAUUUGCCAAGAAAAUCCCACUUGGAGUCAUGAAGAGUCAGAUGUGACUGGACAACAAUAACAAUCGUGGAGAACUGUGGGCCUAAAAGACAACUCGAUUUGAAGUCAAAAGAUACUACUUGUGUGAGGAGCAAGUCACCUCUCCUUUGGGGGCCUUAGUUUUCUUGUCUGAAAAUGAGAGGAUUGGACUAAAUUAACAGUUUUAAGAUCUAAAGUCUAAAAAACCUUUUAUACUCUUAAUAAUCAUUGAGGAUUCUCAAAGAACUUUUGCUCAUGUGAGUUAAAUCUACCUAUGUUAACUAUAAAGAAAUGAAAACCAAACCAAAACAAAACAAAACAAAUGAAAACAUCUUAGCAUUAUUACAAAAAUAGUUUUGACUUCAUUGACUCCCCUAAAGGGCUAUAAGGAUCCUGAAGGGUCUUCAUACCACAUUGAAAACCUUUGGAGCUGACAACCUCUGAGAUCUUUACCAGCUAUAAAUCUAUGCUCCUAUUGUCCUAAAUCUAUGACUAUGCCACUUGAAUUACAUGGUAAUUGAGAAGAAAAGACUGACGUGAAAAUUAUUGCUAAAGAAAAAAGGAUGUGAUUUGGGGAUUAAAAUUGAGGAAGGACGAAUAAAAAAUGACAAAUAUUUGGGAUUUUCUUUUGGUGGAAAAUAUGACUCACCAACCAAAAUAAGGAUAUCAGAAGGGAGAGCUGAUUUUGAGGAAAAGGUGAGUAAUUAAAUUAUAUUUUUCAAGGAUCUCUGAUUUGGAGGAAGUAAUCUCUGCCAUGCAAUCCCCAUAGGUCUGAAUAGAUGAUCCUUAGGAGUUUCCUUGUCCCUGAUAAGAAUUUUAUAAUCCUGUGGUCACCUUGGGAUGAGCCUCUUGGGAAUCAGCUUGGCUGGUUCUAAGCAUACACCUUCACCAGCAAGCCCAUCCUUAUGAGACCAAGGCUGCCUAAGCAACUUGGAGCUCUAGUGCCUAUUCUCAGUAGAGAGGGAAUAGGGAGA